CCUUUAACGAUAGGAAAAUGUCCUUUCCAUCCAUAACCCCGGUCUGUCGCGAACAACAACAAACAAAGAUAAGGAAAAUCAGGGUGUGACGGAGCAGCAGGUGUGUGUGUGUGACGGAGCAGCAGGUGUGUGUGUGUGACGGAGCAGCAGGUGUGUGUGUGUGACGGAGCAGCAGGUGUGUGUGUGUGACGGAGCAGCAGGUGUGUGUGUGACGGAGCAGCAGGUGUGUGUGACGGAGCAGCAGGUGUGUGUGACGGAGCAGCAGGUGUGUGUGUAACGGAGCAGCAGGUGUGUGUGUGUGACGGAGCAGCAGGUGUGUGUGUAACGGAGCAGCAGGUGUGUGUGUGUGACGGAGCAGCAGGUGUGUGUGUGACGGAGCAGCAGGUGUGUGUGUGUGACGGAGCAGCAGGUGUGUGUGUAACGGAGCAGCAGGUGUGUGUAACGGAGCAGCAGGUGUGUGUGUGCGUUUCAAAAACAAAAGGGGGUGUGUGUGUUCAACAGGGGCCCAAGCAUGUCGCCCCAUUCAUCUGUAGAGAAUCGUUUGAAACCAAGGUGCACUAUCAUGCAUACGGCAUGUCCAGAUAUCUGCCGACCCCCCAGGGUUAAACAUUGAUAUCUCCAACCA